AUGCUACGCAAACACCGACGAGCUUUUCUCUAUGGCAGAACAGAUCCUUGCUAUGCUCCCUUCGUUCAGCUCCGGGCAACCGCUACGAAUUCACCACCGCGAGCUACGCGGACCCCUCAUGCAUCUGCCGAUCUCCUCCACAGGAAACUUCCUCCGAUGCGCUCUUCAACUACCGCCGUUACUUUUUCCAAUUCUCUUUCACUUCUAUUAUUGAUGUUGUUGAUAUGA